rnacentral:lncRNA from 1 species
GCUUUCCCUGCCCGAGCAGGGGUCCUGGGCCCGUGGCUGCCCGCCUAGCUCAGGCAUUAGCUUCCCUCCUCCCACUCCCCCCACCCUCCCAGCUCCUGGCCGCCCCCUUCCCUGCCUGCCACACAGCUGUUUUGCCAACAUUGCUGCCUGAUUAUCUUUCAAGUGGCUUCUUGGAGCAGAUGUUCCGGCUCCUUCCUGCAUCGAAAACAAACAGGCGCUCUGUUGUCGUUUGCUCUCCUGGGGAAAAUCCCUCUGCUGCUGCAGAUUCUUCUUGAGAGGUUCAGGGACUUCUGUGAAGUCUCUCCCAGCUGCUCCUUGCCAGGAAUUUGCCUCCAGAUGGAUGACAGGGGCUCCUCAGGUCUUCCGAGGUUUUGGAAUACCUGCUUUGUGCUCAGUCUUUUGAUAAGAAUCUGUGAGGUUAUGGGAGAAGGAGAUGUCAUCCUGGGCAAGAGAGAGGCCCUCUAAAGGGUGAGUAAAUGGUAGAGAGAAAAUAGGUGGUUAUGUGGAUCCAAGCUGAGCCACGAUAAAGAGGAUUU